GGAGAGGUGGCCGAGUGGCUGAAGGCGGCAGUCUCGAAAACUGUUGUAUCCUCUUGGGUACCGGGGGUUCGAAUCCCCCCCUCUCCGCCA
rnacentral:tRNA from 1 species